rnacentral:rRNA from 1 species
GACGAACGCUGGCGGUGUGCUUAACACAUGCAAGUGGAGCGACGAACCAGGGCUUGCUCUGGGGCAGAGCCGCGAACGGGUGAGUAACACGUGGGUAACCUACCCCGAUGACUGGGACAACCCGAGGAAACUCGGGCUAAUACCGGAUAUGUCCGACGUUCACGAGAACGUCGAGCAAAGGAAGCUUCGGCCUCCGCAUUGGGAGGGGCCCGCGGCCCAUUAGCUUGUUGGUGGGGUAACGGCCUACCAAGGCUGCGAUGGGUAGCUGGUCUGAGAGGACGAUCAGCCACACUGGGACUGAGACACGGCCCAGACUCCUACGGGUGGCUG